GGCCUUGUAGCUCAGUCGGCUAGAGCGUUGGCUGUACUAAAGCCUUCCCCUUCUGGCGUCGGUUCAAAUCCCACCGAGGCCG
rnacentral:tRNA from 1 species